rnacentral:rRNA from 1 species
CUACGGGGUGCAGCAGUGAGGAAUAUUGGUCAAUGGGCGUAAGCCUGAACCAGCCAUCCCGCGUGCAGGAAGACGGCGCUAUGCGUUGUAAACUGCUUUUCCAGGGAAAGAAAACCCCCGACGUGUCGGGGCUUGCCGGUACCCUGGGAAUAAGCAUCGGCUAACUCCGUGCCAGCAGCCGCGGUAAUACGGAGGAUGCAAGCGUUAUCCGGAUUUAUUGGGUUUAAAGGGUGCGUAGGCGGAUUAAUGAGUCAGUGGUGAAAACCUUCAGCUUAACUGGAGACUUGCCAUUGAUACUGUUAGUCUUGAGUACGGUCAAGGUAGGCGGAAUGUGUAAUGUAGCGGUGAAAUGCUUAGAUAUUACACAGAACACCGAUUGCGAAGGCAGCUUACUGGGCCAUUACUGACGCUGAGGCACGAAAGCGUGGGGAGCGAACAGGAUUAGAUACCCUGGUAGUC